rnacentral:rRNA from 1 species
UACGUAGGGGCCUAGCGUUGUCCGGAAUUAUUGGGCGUAAAGAGCUCGUAGGCGGUUGGGUAAGUCGGGUGUGAAAACUCCAGGCUCAACUUGGAGACGCCACCCGAUACUGCUCUGACUUGAGUUCGGUAGGGGAGUGGGGAAUUCCUGGUGUAGCGGUGAAAUGCGCAGAUAUCAGGAGGAACACCGGUGGCGAAGGCGGGUCUCUGGGCCGAUACUGACGCUGAGGAGCGAAAGCGUGGGGAGCGAACAGG